rnacentral:rRNA from 1 species
UACGUAGGGGGCAAGCGUUGUCCGGAUUUAUUGGGCGUAAAGAGCGUGUAGGCGGUUAGGUAGGUCCGUUGUGAAAACUCGAGGCUCAACCUCGAGACGCCGAUGGAAACCAUCUGACUAGAGUCCGGAAGAGGAGAGUGGAAUUCCGGGUGGAGUGGUGAAAUGCGUAGAGAUCCGGAGGAACACCGAAGGCGAAGGCAGAGUCCUGGCGCGUGACUGACGCUGAGGUGCGAAAGCCAGGGGAGCGAACGGG